UUUAUUUUGUAAACAGAUUUAUUUGGUAAAACAAACAAUUCAGCUGUAUGUUUUUCACAGUGAGAGAAGUGUUAACGCUAGAAAGCUUAGAACAGUUUAUAAAAGUUUCAUAUGUGAAGUAUGUUGAAUAUAUUGCUAUUACUAAUACCCUUGCCACAUAUUACAUGCACAAUUUGUAUCGUAUUUAUUUAAUUAUAUACUUAUUCUAAUGCUUCCAUUUUGUAUUUGUUGCAUGUCCUUUGUCGUUCCAGGCAGAAUUCACGAUCAAACAAUCUAUACAAAGGACAUGUUAGUUCAGUCUGUGUUUUUAUAUGGUGGAUCCAGUAAUCUUUUCUAUUGUAGUGUUAUGGUUCUCUGCUGGGUCGUGUAACACACUCGAUUCAUGUGUAUUCGUGCAAAGAGACGAUAGCUUCAACAAUAAGAGCUUCUACCGGGUCACAAUACCCCUAAAAUGAAAGUAUAAAAAGUAUGUAAAAAAAGGGCUGCGAUUCCUUAACUUGCGGCUUGCAAAUUAAAGCCAACAUUCUGCACUUCAACCUCUUAGUCACAAUUUGAAAUACACAGUGCUGAAGUACAGAACCAAAACCUGUGUCACUGUCCAAAUACUUACGGACUGCACUGUGUAGACCGCACUGAUGCUUAAGUGAGGACCGAGGUGAUUCCACUGAACGUCAUGGGUGGAUCCUAGAUAGUUAGCCAGGGUCAGGUUUAAAAUGUUAGCCAGGGUCAGGUUUAAAUUGUUAGCCAGGGUCAGGUUUAAAAUGUUAGCCAGGGUCAGGUUUAAAUUGUUAGCCAGGGUCAGGUUUAAAAUGUUAGCCAGGGUCAGGUUUAGAUUGUUAGCCAGGUUCGGGGUUAGUGGGGGAUAUCUGCUUCACCAGGGGUCCAUCUUUGAGGGGAUUUCUUCGUCAGGUCAGAGAUCGCCAGGGAAUCAGGUGUGGUUUAUUUCAAUGUCCAGUAUUAGCUAUGAAGAAAAUUAACUGGCAUAAUCUUUGUCUGUAGACGUGGCCCUACAUACUCCAACCCCUCUGUCAAGGGGACCCAAUUAUUUAAGUAAGAUGGAAGGGCACUCUCCUGCCUUUACUGCAAUUUGUGUUUCUUACAGAACUCCUGCUCCAGUUCCAUGAAGCUGUCAUGGACAUCUUUGUUCCAAGGAGCACUUCUUGUUUUGAUAAGUUUCUAAGAAGUGUGAUGCCUCCCCUUUACGGCUCCUACCUAAGAUUAUCUGAGCAAGAAGACUCUCAUUCAGCAUCCUCAAGAUGCAAGGGAAAGCACUGGCUGACAACACUCUUCUUUGGCUUCAUCUUCUAAUGUUAGCAUGAUUGGAGGACCUUCACGACUUCCGUCAAUGGAACGGCAUCUUCUUUGUUACAAUUUUUCUGUUUGAUUGACCUGUGUGCAUUAGAAGUUACGUACCCUCUCCACGAAGAGGUCAUUAGUUUCACAAAUUUGUUUGCCUCUGCAUGAGUCUCUACGUCCCCAUUUAUUACACUUCUGCUAGCUAAACACUCUGCUGCUUUGGUAAGUGAGUGUCCUAUCCUAAUAACCAAACUUGUUUUUGUGUAGUCAAUUACAUCCGGAUUGAACCUGCUGACCUUCUUUGCUGCUUCAAGAACCAGUUCGAACCGGCUCGGUUUACAGACGUCCUGUAGGUGCUUUACACUGUUAUCAAGCUCUUUGAGCACCAGCAUGAGUCUACCCACUUCCCGCAGUCUUUUGCAGAUGUAGCCAUGCUGGGACAACUCAUGACCGCGCUCUGCAUACAAACAGUCCCCUAACUGACAAAUUAACAGGUCGUUUCGUAUGUGAAAAGCCACUGAAUCUUGUUGCAUUUUGUGGAUGAUCUUUUGGCAGCCUUCCGAAGCACUUUUAGAGAUUGGGAUCAGAUGGGAUGCUAUAGAUUGGACCCUCUUCCUUGACCCCUUUUCUCCUUCCUUUUUUGGCCUACAUGAUGACUCGUGUCUCCAUAACUUGCUUUUUACAAAAAAACCAAGACAGUGAGAACAGGGCAGGUAGUCCUCAAUGGAAGCACUUCCUGGGGGUUGUCUCCAUGUAACGAUCUCUCCCUUACCCUCUUCAAGCACUAAGAUGUUGUGUUGAUAGUCACCUUUUUUUCUCAGCUCUUCAAGCAAGGCUGACCUUUUCUUAGAGCCUUUCGGGAAGCUACAAGCCCGGGCUACGUCCUCCUCAUCUCCAUGCUUUCUUUCUAAGUGCCUGGAUAUUUUAGAAUUGGGUUUCAUGCAGUAUAUACAGAAAUGCUUUUUGUCAUAGAGCCUUUUCCCAUCCUUGGUCUUACUGCAGGUUUUGAUUGUUAAUGUAGACAUGCUUUUUUCCUGUUCAAUAGGGUCAAUUUUAGACUUUGGGGACAGGGUAGAGGGCGUGCAGGGUGUCUCACUGUCUGUUGAAUCAGAAUUUUCCUCUGCUGGGAUGAAGUGGGGAUAAUUCAUUUGAUCAUCUGACAACACGUCAAAAUCCUCAUCUGACGUCAAGCUCAUUUGGUCAGAAAACGUGUAAUUAGGGACUCUCUGGGAGCGGGGACGGGUGGCCCUGGUCUUGGUCGAACUGGAGAGCCGGGACUUCUUGGUAGCAACUGUGGCAUCAAAAGUGAAGUCUAACAGAUGACAAGGAGAAAAACAGAAACCGAAAAGCAUUAUUACAUUAAACUUACACUAAAAACCACCUUCAAUAAAUGAUCCCCUAGGCAAGUUUGAUUACAAAUGAGUGUGUGCCAACGAUAGAGAGAAAAAGGACCAGAACAAAUCCAAGAUACAAACACACGAAGUCAGUCAGACAGACCCACCGGCCGACAAAGUCAGUCAGACAGACAGACCCACCGGCCGACAAAGUCAGUCAGACAGACAGACCCACCGGCCGACAAAGUCAGUCAGACAGACAGACCCACCGGCCGACAAAGUCAGUCAGACAGACAGACCCACCGGCCGACAAAGUCAGUCAGACAGACAGACCCACCGGCCGACAAAGUCAGUCAGACAGACCCACCGGCCGACAAAGUCAGUCAGACAGACCCACCGGCCGACAAAGUCAGUCAGACAGACCCACCGGCCGACAAAGUCAGUCAGACAGACAGACCCACCGACCGACAAAGUCAGUCAGACAGACAGACCCACCGACUGACAAAGUCAGUCAGACAGACCCACCGGCCGAUAAAGUCAGACAGACAGACAGAAGAGAGAAACAGAAUGAUUAUCCCACCUGAAUGAAGACAUGCAGCGGAUUCUUGUUGUGGUUUCUUUACAAUCUUCUGGGAUCCUUCUGAAACACUUUUAGAAACUGAAAUCAGAUGGGAGACUAGUGACUGAACUCUCUUCCUAGGCUCUGUUUCUUCGUUGUUACGAGACCUUUUUUCUUCAUUUUUUGGCUGACAUAAUGACUCGUGUCUUCUUAACUCGCUCUUUACAAAAAAACCCAGACAGUGAGAACAGGGCAGGUAGUCCUCAAUGGAAGCACUUCCUGGGGAUUUCCGUGAUAUAACGAUCUCUCCCUUCCCCUCUUCAAGUACUAAGAUGUUGUGUUGAUAGUCACCUUUGUUUCUCAGCUCUUCAAGCAAGGCUGACCUUUUCUUAGAGCCUUUUGGGAAGCUACAAGCCCGGGCUACGUCCUCCUCAUCUCCAUGCUUUCUUUCUAAGUGCCGGGAUAUUUUAGAGUUGGGUUUCAUGCAGUAUAUACAGAAAUGCUUUUUGUCAUAGAGCCUUUUCCCAUCCUUGGUCUUACUGCAGUAUAUACAGAAAUGCUUUUUGUCAUAGAGCCUUUUCCCAUCCUUGGUCUUACUGCAGGUUUUGAUUGUUAAUGUAGACAUGCUUUUCUUCUGUUUGACAGGGCCGGGUUUAGACUUUGGGGACGGGGUAGAGGGCGUGCAGGGUGUCUCACUGUCUGUUGAAUCAGAGUUUUCCUCUGCUGGGAUGAAGUGGGGAUAAUUCAUUUGAUCAUCUGACAACACGUCAAAAUCCUCAUCUGACGUCAUGCUCAUUUGGCUGUGGUUGGCUCGGUUCUCAGACAGACAAGUGUCUCUGGAUCUCUUGGCGACCGUGGCAGCAAAAGUAAAG
ensembl:lncRNA